CCUACGGGAGGCAGCAGUGGGGAAUAUUGCACAAUGGGGGAAACCCUGAUGCAGCGACGCCGCGUGAGUGAAGAAGUAAUUCGUUAUGUAAAGCUCUAUCAGCAGGGAAGAAAAUGACGGUACCUGAGUAAGAAGCCCCGGCUAACUACGUGCCAGCAGCCGCGGGAAUACGGAGGGGGCAAGUGUUAUCCGGAUUUACUGGGUGUAAAGGGAGCGUAGACGGCAGUGCAAGUCUGGAGUGAAGGUCGGGGGCUCAACCCCCGGACUGCUCUGGAAACUGUACGGCUGGAGUGCAGGAGAGGUAAGUGGAAUGCAUAGUGUAGGAGUGAAAUGCGUAGAUAUCAGGAGGAACAUCAGUGGCGAAGGCGACUAUCUGGCACAUAACUGACGCUGAGGAGCGAAAGCGUGGGUAGCAAACAGGAUUAGAUACUCCUGUAGUC
rnacentral:rRNA from 1 species